GGUUCUUUCCUGCACUGUUCUCAUGAUAGUGAAUGAAUCUCACAAGAUCUGAUGGUUUUUAAAAUGGGAGUUUCCCUGCACAAGCUCUCUUUGCCUGCUGCCAUCCACAUAAGAUGUGACUUGCUCCUCCUUGCCUUCCACCAUGAUUGUGAGGCUUCCCCAGCCACGUGGAACUAUGAUUCCAAUGUAUAGCCAAUGAUGAGCAGCUGCUAGGCUGGAGGGACUGGGGCCAUUUUAUACCAGGUCCUUCGAAUAAUGCCACCGGGCUUGAGAGUAUUGUGCUGUCUCCCUGCCCCUCUCCAAAAGCUGCAUUGUCUCUCUGCAUAGCCCCUGUUGGCUGUGAGCACCUUCGCUCCUCCUCUGAUUUCUUUGCAACCCUCCUCUUUGGGACUGCUGCUGUCCCCUGCCUCUCACUCUGCAGCUGUGAACCGGAGACACCUGCACAUCCCUGCAACUCCCUGCAGCUAAACGAGCAGCUUCUCAAGGAACCCUGUGUGCACAAGGUCAGCCCCAUGGGCGGGGAGCCCCUCUAGGUGACUCAAAAGCCUUCCUCGAGCACCCACUGCCAGGCAGCCUUUUCACCUGUGACUGAGGGAUUGCUGCAGUGGGAAGCUGGGGAAAGUUCUGUGCCUGCCUCAGGUCAAUCUCCCCUGGAAAUGCAUGGAGUGGGUGCCCAGACCAGCCACACACCUCCAGUUCUUGACCUUUUCAUUUCAGACCUUGUAUCUUACCUGCUCCCCUCCCUUUUCUCUCCAUCUCUCUAAGGUGGGUCCCUUGUUAGGGAGCAGUCAAUACCUCCCUGCUGCAGCUCCAGGGUUGAUGGGAAGUUAGUGGUUCCUGAGCCUCUGCCUCCAGGAGCUACAGCUUGAAUACCCUCACCAGCCUCUCUCUGCAGUGUCCUGACCUUGGGGAAAGGCUGGGACUAGGGCUGAGGGUGGGAGUAGGAGGGUAGGGAAGGAGGUAGGUUGCAGCACUUGUGACCGUGCUGUGUCCUGUUUGGCACCUAGGAAAACCAUCUCAGGCAAUGUAGGCACUAAAAUGGCAUAGAGUUGGAACAAUCUGCUUCACACACCUCUGUUCUGAAGAAAAUUGGAGCUGGACACGGUGGCUCACCCUGUAAUCCCAGCACUUUGGGAGGCCGAGGUGGGUGUAUCACUUGAGGUCAGGAGUUCAAGACCAGCCUGGCCAACAUGGUGAAACUACAUCUCUACUGAAAAUACAAAAAAUUAGCUGGGCAUGGUGGUGGGUGCCUUUAGUCCCAGCUACUCCGGAGGCUGAGGCAGGAGAAUUGGUUGAACCCAAGAGGCGGAGGUUGCAGUUAGCUGAGAUCAUGCCACUGCACUCCAGCCUGGGCAACAGAGCCAGACUCUGUCUCAAAAAUAAAUAAAUAGAAUUGGAAAGGUGAGCCUGCACUCCAGGCUGCCUCUGCACUGCCUAAGCAUGACAGUGCCAGGUGACCUAUUAGAUGGAAAUCUAAGAAUAUAGCCCCUGUCCCCCAUUUCAGGAGCCAGGCUUCAAAAACGGUGGUAAGGAAAAGUCUGGAAGAAGACUACAAGUCUUCCUUGUUGAUUUUCUCUCAAAAGAGUCACAGUAGGUCCCAAAUAUUCCCAACCUCUUCUUUAUUUGUGUAGCAGUAAAAAUGCAACCUGUCACUCAGACUUUAAGCCUUCCUUGACCUAAUUAGUAUUUUCUCCUGUGUUACUCUAUACUGCAGGGCUACCACUGAUUAGACCAACUGAAGGAUGAGGGUGGCCUCAUUAAUCCAACACUCUAGUUAACUCUCAUAUCUAUGUCAACAAUUUUCAAAGGAUUAUUAUAAAGCAAGGACCAUCUUUGAUAAAAGUGAUCAAAGAUUUCUAGGAUCUUAGGGCAAUGUUUCUUAAAGUCUAUUCCAUGACUCUCGAGCUUUGUGAGAUGUUAAUUGGUGUUUUGUAUACAUUAAAACUAAUAAGUUUGGGAAAUAUUGGAUUUUAAAAGUGAAUAUAUUUAACUUUGGGAGGCAAAAACAGGCAGAUCACUUGAGGCCAGGAGUUCGAGACCAGCUUAGCCAACAUGGCAAAACCCCGUCUCUUUUAAAAACACAAAAAUUGGCCGGGCAAGUGGCUCACGCCUAUAAUCCCAGCACUUUGGGAGGCUGAAGCAGGUGAAUCACAUGAGGUCAGGAGUUCAAGACCAGCCUGGGAAACGUAGUGAAACCCUGCCUCUACUAAAAAUACAAAAAUUAGCUGGGUGUAGUAGUGCAUGCCUGUAAUCCCAGCUACUCAGGAGGCUGAGACAGAAGAAUCGCUUGAAUCCAAGAGGCAGAUGUUGCAGUGAGCCAAGAUUGCACCACUGCACUCCAGCCUGAGCAACAGAACGAGACUCUGUCUCAAAAACAAAAAUUAGCUGCGUGUGGUGGCGCGUGCCUGUAACCCCAGCUACUCAGGAGGCUGAGAUGGGAGAACUGGUUGAACCGGAGGUGGAGGUUGCAGUAAGCUGAGAUCGCACCAUUGUACUCCAGCCUGGGUGACAGAGUGAGACUCUGUCUCAAAAAAAAAAAAAAAAGAAUAUGUUUAUACAUGAUUCUGAGACUUCACUAAAUGCAUUAAUGGUGGGUAAAGUGUUUUCCAAACUUCCUUGACCACUCAACACUUUUUUAGGGGAGGAUACCACGUGACUGGUGUUUGUGCCAGACUUUGGGGAAUUCCACCUUUGUCAGGCUCAACACAACAAGGGUUUUCAUUGCUCACUGUCUUGUUACAUGAGUUGUAGGAUGUUACACAGAAAUGCCUGAAAAGCAAGGAGCAGCUAUCAGAAUGUUUGGUGACACAGCUCCUCCUGCCAUGGUUCCUUCGGCAUGGACUUCACAUUCAGCAGAUCCAUGAGGUGUUCCCUUUCGGAUGAGCUCCAAGGUCUUAAGAGAGCAUCUCUAGUCUGCGUGAGUCCAUCUGAACGACGGUCCUGAGCAAGAACCACCUAUAACCAUCUGCUCAAAAUAACUCAGGGGAAGUCAAAGCUUUCUAUGUGGAAGGUGACUGAAACCACACACACAGACCACUGCAGCAUUCCUGACAUUAUGGAACUUGGAAAUGAUUCCAAGCACGGCCAUAGCUUGAGUAACAUGUUUUGCUAUGACAAGAACUUGGAGUGUAAUCCUUCCCCCCUCAAGAAUGUGACAUCACACCUUAUCAGAUCCUACAGGUGAGCUACUGACCUCAACCACUGAACUUCAAACUAUGUAAAAACCUAAGGGUUUGACAGACACUUUGAGAGCUUGGGCUGUGGCAAGCUACGCUCUGUCAGCCUCUCUUCGACAGGGCCCCACCCUGCUAGCCUUUGAACUUGGAAGCAUCGCCCACAAACACCAGUGCCACCCUCUAGCGUUGAGGGACCAUAUAUGUCUUUGUGAAUCUCCGUUGCGCUGGACAGCUUCUCUCCCAAGAGCUGCUCUUAUAAAAGAGACACACCACAUUUUAAUGAGACUUCGCUCUCCACAGAGGCCUGCUUCCAUCCUAAUUGAGCAAGUAGACUUUAGUAACUUUGGAACUCACUCACCCUGUGACUAAUACACCCUGUCUACCCAGCGCAUUCCCUGUGAGAUUUGUUCAUGUUGUUCUCCCCCUCCUUAAGCAUUGUGAACCUAGGAAAAAUAUCAUCUUUGUAGGGCAAUAAACCAUGUGAUUUGUGAAAUCAUA